UACGUAGGGUGCGAGCGUUAAUCGGAAUUACUGGGCGUAAAGCGUGCGCAGGCGGUUUCGCAAGUCAGAUGUGAAAGCCCCGGGCUCAACCUGGGAAUUGCAUUUGAAACUACGAGGCUAGAGUGUGUCAGAGGGGGGUAGAAUUCCACGUGUAGCAGUGAAAUGCGUAGAGAUGUGGAGGAACACCGAUGGCGAAGGCAGCCCCCUGGGUCAACACUGACGCUCAUGCACGAAAGCGUGGGGAGCAAACAGG
rnacentral:rRNA from 1 species